rnacentral:rRNA from 1 species
AUGCAGUCGAACGGAAACGACGAGAACAAUCCCUUCGGGGUGCGUCCUCGGGCGUCGAGUGGCGGACGGGUGCGUAACGCGUAGGAAUCUACCUUAUAGUGGGGGACAACUCGGGGAAACUCGAGCUAAUACCGCAUAAGCCUUACGAGGGAAAGCAGGGGAUCUUCGGACCUUGCGCUAUUAGAUGAGCCUGCGUCGGAUUAGCUAGUUGGUAGGGUAAUGGCCUACCAAGGCAACGAUCCGUAGCUGGUCUGAGAGGAUGAUCAGCCACACUGGGGCUGAGACACGGCCCAGACUCCUACGGGAGGCAGCAGUGGGGAAUAUUGGACAAUGGGCGCAAGCCUGAUCCAGCAAUGUCGCGUGUGUGAAGAAGGCCUUAGGGUUGUAAAGCACUUUCAGUAGGGAAGAAAUGCGUGCAGUUAAUAACUGUGCGUCUUGACGGUACCUACAGAAGAAGCACCGGCUAACUCCGUGCCAGCAGCCGCGGUAAUACGGAGGGUGCAAGCGUUAAUCGGAAUUACUGGGCGUAAAGCGCGCGUAGGCGGCUAUAUAAGUCUGAUGUGAAAGCCCUGGGCUCAACCUGGGAACUGCGUUUGAAACUGCAAGGCUAGAGUGUGGCAGAGGGGGGUGGAAUUCCGCGUGUAGCAGUGAAAUGCGUAGAGAUGUGGAGGAACACCGAUGGCGAAGGCAGCCCCCUGGGUCAACACUGACGCUCAGGCACGAAAGCAUGGGGAGCAAACAGGAUUAGAUACCCUGGUAGUCCAUGCCCUAAACG